rnacentral:misc_RNA from 1 species
GAUGAAGAACGUAGCGAAAUGUGAUAAGUAGUGUGAAUUGCAGAAUUCAGUGAAUCAUCGAAUCUUUGAACGCACAUUGCGCCCCUUGGUAUUCCAUGGGGCAUGCCUGUUCGAGCGUCAUUUGUACCUUCAAGCUUUGCUUGGUGUUGGGUGUUUGUCUCGCCUCUGCGUGUAGACUCGCCUUAAAACAAUUGGCAGCCGGCGUAUUGAUUUCGGAGCGCAGUACAUCUCGCGCUUUGCACUCAUAACGACGACGUCCAAAAGUACAUUUUUACACUCUUGACCUCGGAUCAGGUAGGGAUACCCGCUGAACUUAAGCAUAUCAAUAAGCGGAGGA